AACGAACGCUGGCGGCAGGCCUAACACAUGCAAGUCGAGCGAGGACUUCGGUCCUAGUGGCGGACGGGGGAGUAACGCGUGGGAACGUGCCCUUUGCUUCGGAAUAGCCCUGGGAAACUGGGAGUAAUACCGGAUGAGCCCUUUGGGGGAAAGAUUUAUUGGCGAAGGAUCGGCCCGCGUUGGAUUAGGUAGUUGGUGGGGUAAUGGCCUACCAAGCCGACGAUCCAUAGCUGGUUUGAGAGGAUGAUCAGCCACACUGGGACUGAGACACGGCCCAGACUCCUACGGGAGGCAGCAGUGGGGAAUCUUAGACAAUGGGGGAAACCCUGAUCUAGCCAUGCCGCGUGAGCGAUGAAGGCCUUAGGGUUCUAAAGCUCUUUCAGCUGGGAAGAUAAUGACGGUACCAGCAGAAGAAGCCCCGGCUAACUCCGUG
rnacentral:rRNA from 1 species